AUAUAUAUUAGAUAAUGCUGAAAGUGAAGAAAUGAUGAUACCGUGUCGGUAUCAUCAUUUCUUCACUUUCAGCAUUAUCUAAU
rnacentral:sRNA from 1 species